ensembl:lncRNA novel transcript
CUGCAUGCCUUCUUACAACAAACUGCGUGGUGGGCGCACCAGCCUUCCCCAUCUGACUCUGUGUGCUGCCCACCUGGUGGUUGUGCUGGAGGUUUUGAAGAGUGAGACUUUGGCCCCAGGUCUCCUGCCUGAGAGCUGCGUAAACCUAGAGCCUUGUCUCACAGAGCCCCUGUUCCCACAGCAUUAAAGUGGAGAUGACAGAGUCCCUCCUGGAGAGCCGGUCUAGCCAUUCAGUGAGUCAGCAGCACAGCUCCUCCAGCACGCAGAGAACAGCGGUCCAUGGAGGGAGGGCGUGAGCCUGGGGUUUUACUGAGGAAGGAUAGUGGGUUUUUCAGUCCCUGAAGCUGCUGCUCUGCCCACUCAGGAAGGUGAGGAAGGCAGACGACAGCGUACAUCCAGCCUCUGCUCUCCCUUGUUAUUUUCUGUCUCUUUGGUGGCAGCCAUCCUAACGGGUGUGAUGUGCCUUCAAGGGCCUCUUAACAGGUCGGGGCAUUGGGACCAGCCACUCGGACAGGAAGGACCAAUACGGGAGCAGGUUUGUGGACAGAAUCUGACCAGUCACUGCACCUGGUCCCGUGAGUGUGGGGCUCAGUCCUGUGGCUCAUGUCAUGCCCUGCAGGCUGAUGUGAGGGACAGGCCAUGGCCAGCGAUGCUUGUCUCUGCUCCACGCUGUUCACAAACUCGUUAGUAGCUGAGACUUACUCCCCACAGUCCCCCACUGCCUGUCUCUUCAAAGCAAGGCCGUUUCUCACACUCAGCCUGAGUCUCCUUGAGUGGGGCCUUUCAACAGCCAGGGCCCCUUCUUCCCUGGGCAGAGACGCCAGACCAAUCUGAAUAAUGGCACCCCGUGUAUGUCUGUGAAGUGCAGGAAGGCAGUCGACAGGCCAGCCUCACCCUGGCCUCCAUCACCCUGGGGCCCGGAUGCCUCUGCCCGCUCAGCCUCAGUGACCUUAGGGCCUCUGGGGUAGAGAAAGGAGGGUGGAUGCACUGAGCUCUCUGGCCGAGUGGACAUGCCGGCCAGGCCAGGCUGUGACGUCAUCCUGGGUGGGGGCUGUCGAAUGUUGCCCCUGGUGGCUUGGAGAGAGUGGGUUUCUCAUGGGUUUCACAUCAGGCGCAGGUGGGGCAGGACUGUGGUUUGCCGUGAAGCAGCUGGAGGACUGAGGGAGAAAUGGGCUCUCAGUGAGACACAGCUCCCUCCUGUCUAAAAUGGGGACGUGGUGGUGCCCCAGGCCAGAGAAGGCAACCCUGCUCACAGUCACUGUCUAUAUUGGAAAUGGGGUGAAGGGUCUGCAGACGCUUGUCCCAGCUCUGACAUUACCCAUUUGUAGAACCUUGGACCAGUGAAUCAACUGCCAUAAAUCCCAGUUUCCACACCCGGGAGGUGGACCCCUCAAUGCCACACACGCUUCCAGCUGGCUCAAGAGACUGAGCGAGACUGGACUCGCAGCAGCCGGCGUGGUGCCUGCACACGCGUGUGCGGUGGUUCUCAGCAGGGGGCGGCGCGGUGCCCGCACACGCGUGUGCGGUGGUUCUCAGCUGCCGGUUCCUGAGUCUUCCUCUCUUUCCAUCCAAACUACGCACUUGCUUACAGCACUGAAAGUGCGAUGCAGUCUCUUGGGGCCUCGCUUUCAUCCUAUGGGAGAUCUUGGGCUGAAGAAUAGUAUCCAAGGACAGUUCUGACUUUAGUACUUGGGUUUAUUUUAUUUUUUUUGAAAAAAGCAAUAUUCAUCAAACUAUACAAAAUGUUGCAAUUAGCUUCUUAUUGUCACUGAACUCAGUAAUGAAGGAAUUGAGAAUUUUGUUUUCCUUUCAUCAUUUUUAUGUUUCCUUGUACGCUGUAAUGAAUGUCGCCACUUACUCUCAGGUAACUAUGUGGAGUGACAUGAGCUAAUUACAUACUUUGUAACCUCCAAUCAGCAGAAUCUCACAAUAUAUCAUGAUAAUGCCCUUGUAUUUCACUGCAAGAAUGCCUGGCAGAAUUGCGGGUUAAUUAUGCACACCUUUAAUAGAAUCAUGGUGUGGGGCAGGAGUGGGGGCCUCAGGAGAGAGAGAUGCGGAGUCAGCUCCUCUGCCCUUCCCGGUCCUGACGGCUGCACGGUUGUCCUCUGCUGCCAGGGAGGUAUAUGUUGGUUGCAUUUAUUUAUAUAAUUAUAAAAAGCCCUUACCCUUGCAAAGCAAUUUAUACUGAACAAAAUAUAUUCAUAGGUAGUAUUUCAUUUGAUUCACAAA